UGCCGCGUGAGUGAAGAAGGCCUUCGGGUUGUAAAGCUCUUUUGUCAGGGAAGAAACGGUGGUCGCUAAUAUCGGCUGCUAAUGACGGUACCUGAAGAAUAAGCACCGGCUAACUACGUGCCAGCAGCCGCGGUAAUACGUAGGGUGCAAGCGUUAAUCGGAAUUACUGGGCGUAAAGCGUGCGCAGGCGGUUAUAUAAGUCAGAUGUGAAAUCCCCGGGCUCAACCUGGGAACUGCAUUUGAGACUGUAUAGCUAGAGUGUGUCAGAGGGGGGUAGAAUUCCACGUGUAGCAGUGAAAUGCGUAGAGAUGUGGAGGAAUACCGAUGGCGAAGGCAGCCCCCUGGGAUAACACUGACGCUCAUGCACGAAAGCGUGGGGAGCAAACAGGAUUAGAUACCCUGGUAGUCCACGCCCUAAACGAUGUCUACUAGUUGUCGGGUCUUAAUUGACUUGGUAACGCAGCUAAC
rnacentral:rRNA from 1 species